AUUCUAAAUAUUUAUAGGACCAUUUACUCGAUUAACCUUUUUAAAUAUAACCCUAUUUUAAUGUUGGACCAAUGAUUCAAAUGUGACCUCAAAUUGGCAGGGCAUGUCUAUGCUUACAUUAUCAGUUUCUCUUCCAAGCCUAAAACCACCUGAGUGUCAUGAAAUGGAUGUGACAAAAUGCAAGGAAGCUUCUACAUUACAGCUAGUUGUGUUCUAUGGUGCACUCUACAUUCUAGCAGUGGGAACAGGUGGAACAAAACCUAACAUUUCCACUAUUGGUGCUGAUCAAUUUGAUGAGUUUGACACAAAAGAGAAGAAACACAAACUCUCAUUCUUCAACUGGUGGAUGUUCAGCAUCUUCAUUGGAACCCUUUUUGCAAAUUCAGUUUUAGUCUACAUACAAGAUAAUGUUGGUUGGACUCUUGGGUAUGCACUUCCAACUCUUGGACUUGCAAUAUCUAUCAUAAUAUUUUUGGCAGGCACACCAUUCUAUAGACAUAAAUUACCUACAGGAAGUCCCUUUACUAAAAUGGCUAAGGUAAUAGUGGCUGCUAUGAAGAAAUGGAAUGUGCCUAUUCCUAGUGACCCUAAAGAACUAUAUGAACUUGAUUUGGAAGAGUAUGCAAAGAAAGGAAGUGUUAGAAUUGAUUCAACUCCCACAUUGAGGUAUGAGUUCCAUCAUAGUUUCUUAGCUAUCUUCAUGUUUGAUUUAAACACUAUUUUAUUUCACAAAUACAUAUAUGUAUAUGUUAUUAACCAAGUGAUUGGACAACAUUGACUAUUAAGUUUAAAUUAAGGACAAAUCAUUCAGGAAAACUCGAAUUUGAAUUUUGAUUAUAACAGUCCAUAACGAGUCCCCUUUCCCUAGGAAUUGGAGGUUUAAUAAACGAAAAUGCAUGUCAUUCGGUAUGUCUUGUGUUGUAUGCAACAUGGCAAAUAAAUAUCACUUAUUUUUUAAUUGUGACUUUUCUUGUCGAGUUUUGGCAUGUUAAUUGCAACUAGAGAGAUGUGUGUCCUCGUGAGCUUAACUCAGUUGGUAGAGACAAUGCAUAAUAUAUGUGUAUGUAAAUGUUAAUGUCGCAAAUUUGCCUAAACUUAUACUAACAUUGUUAUAAUUUGAAUUUUCAUCAUAAAAUAAAAAAAAAAAAUAUGUAUGCAGAUUCCUCAACAAGGCAUGUGUCAAGACUAAUUCAAGUACUAGUACAGCGAAAUUGUGCCCAGUUACACAUGUAGAGGAGACCAAACAAAUGAUAAGAAUGAUCCCAAUCAUGGCUACUACAUUAAUUCCUAGUACAAUGAUUGCUCAAAUAAAUACAUUGUUUGUGAAACAAGGAACAACACUUGAUAGAGGCAUUGGGAGUUUCAAAAUUCCACCAGCAAGUUUAGGUACAUUUGUGACAAUAUCAAUGCUUAUAAGUGUUGUGCUCUAUGAUCGUUUCUUUGUAAAGAUCAUGCAAAGAUGGACUAAAAACCCUAGAGGAAUUACUCUCCUUCAAAGGAUGGGCAUAGGAAUCAUAAUUCAUAUAGUGAUUAUGGUAGUUGCAACUUUCACUGAAAGAUAUAGGCUUAGUGUAGCCAAAGAACAUGGAGUAGUUGAAAAUGGAGGAUUAGUUCCAUUGAGCAUAUUCAUUUUACUCCCUCAAUUUUUACUUAUGGGAACAGCUGAUGCAUUUUUAGAGGUUGCUAAAAUUGAGUUCUUCUAUGAUCAAGCUCCAGAAAGCAUGAAGAGCUUGGGCACUUCUUAUUCAAUGACUAGCUUAGGCAUUGGAAAUUUUAUUAGUACUUUUCUUCUAUCAACAGUUUCACACAUCACUGAGGAACAUGGUCACAAAGGGUGGAUUUUGAAUAAUCUUAAUGCUUCUCAUCUUGAUUACUACUAUGCAUUUUUGGCUAUACUAAAUGUCUUGAACUUUAUCUUCUUUUGUAUUGUUACGAAGUAUUAUGUAUAUAGAGCUGAAAUUUCAGAUUCCAUAAAAGUGCUUGCAGAAGAAUUGAAGGAGAAGACAAGUGUUGUGUCAUACCAAGUGAUUCCAAGAGAUUAGUUUAUUGGUUCUUGGGUAGUAUUGUAACAUUAAAUGUAUAACAUCCAAAUGUAUUUGAACAAAACUCAUGACAUGGAGAAAGAAGAAGAUGAACUGAAUGUGCUAAACCGAAUUAUAAUUCAUUGUAACAGAAAAUUUACAAGUGACAAGCUUAUAUACACUUGAUCAGUGUCAACCCAUCAUAACUGUUGUAAUUAACUAAAUGAGCGCUAAAUGAAAAUGAAAUUACAAGUGAAAUGCAACUAACUAAAAUGUGACUUGAGUUUCAAGCUAUGUAACUUGUGCUUCACGCUUUGUCUUAUCUUCCUCUUCUCUAUGUAUUGCUAAUAUCCCCUCGCAUGCUGGAGGUUGGUAGCUGUCUAGCAUCCCAAGCUUGACAAUGCGAUCAUGAAACUGUUUCGGUCAUGUCAAGCAUCCUACAUUGGGAGUUUCCUGAAUCAUCUUAACCUUUUCGGUAGUCUGCUGAACAACUUUUGGUCCAAUCAUAGAAUUUUCUCCCGACUCAUACCAACACAAUGGUGUUCUACAUCUUGGUCCAAUCAUAGUCCUAGUAGUGCUUGUUUUGCAUGUUUGAUGGAAUAAGGUGAAAAAUUGCACCGGAGAUCUAGGAAGCUACAAUGUAGAGUAUGAAGAUGCAUCGCUCAAUAUACAAGAAUAUGUAGCGCAGCGGAUCGCCAGCCAGGGUCGUACAAUAGUACGAACUCAUGGGACCCUUAUUAUCAUUGCUUUAUGAGUAACUUUUAUGAGUUGGCGCCAAUUCUUAGUAGUGUACUUGUAGUGAGUACAAUAUAGAAAACUAGGGUUUAGUAUCUGUUUAGAUCAUGCCUCGAGAAUUAUCACAAGGUGGGUAUUUAUAGCUUUUUUGGGUUUUAUCUUUUCAUGACUUAGGCCUAGAGAAUUUUACACUUGUGAAUUGAGUGGUCAAGUUGCAGCUAGGGUUAGCAGCACUGGAGUUCUCACUCCAUCUCAUCUUCUCCAUAGAUGAGCAUGAGUGCUAGUUCUUAGGGGGCGUUUGUUUGACGGUUUAAAAUUUCAUUCCUGGGAUUAAUCUUUCCUGGGAAUUAAUAAUGGGCAUCUUAUUCCUGAGUAUUUUUAGAAAAUGGUGUUUGGUAAAUAAUUGUCAGAUUCAUGGGAAUUGUUUGUGAUAGUGGGUAUAUGGGUAGUUAUUUCCAUUUUAGUACCAUUUACAUGGGAAUCUUUUAUUCCCGUCCACUUUCUUUGGGAAUAAAAUCAUGGGUAAGUGGAAGUUAUUUUUUUCCUAGGAAUUCUUUAUUCCCGGGAAUUAUUUUUUAACUUUGUAACAAACAUAGGAAUCUAUAAUUCCAACCUCCAUGUUCCUGGGAAUAAUUUUUUAAACCAGGAAACAAACACCCCCUUAGUGAUUUAGAGUUAGGAUUACUUAGAUGUUGCUUCAAGCUCACCUUAUUCCUUGUUUGAUUGUAAUUUGUUAUUAACUCUAUAUUAUCUAUCAAUUUAACUUUUCAUUUAUGUUUUAUUUCAUCUUCAUCUCGGUGGUUAAGCUCAUCAUGAGCUAAACCUCUUUUUUCCAUUUAGACAUGACGAGGUUAUAAUAUUCUUCGCUUAAGAUUUAUAAAGCUAUAUUUUUUUUUGAAAGGAUAAAGCUAUAUGUUAUUGAUUCUUUCAAACAAACUAUUUUAACCCAAAAUCUUUGAAAGUAAAACUUGAUCAUUUUUAUUUUUGAUGCUAUAGUUUCAUGAAAGUGAAAUGAUGACAUGGGAAUGAAAAAUGUUUGUUUUAUAUCACAUUCAAAUAAAAUUUAGCAAAUAUUGUUACUAUUGUAAUUGAGUUAUGCAUAGUUUAAUUGAAUUUAAAUAAUUUUAUUUUAAUUAAAGAUUUAUAAAAUAUUAUAAAAAAAUACAAAUUGUAAUUACAAUUUUAUAAGUGAAAGGUAUAACUCAAUCCUCUAUCCCGUUUAUAUAUAUAUUUUUAGACAAAUGAAAAUAUAUAUAAAUUAAUAUUUAGGGAUUAAAAUUAAUUUAAUGAUAACAUUAAAUUAACUCCCUAAAAAAACAUUAAAUUAAUAAAUUUAUAUUUUAAAAUACUUAAACAUUAGCUCAUAUAAACUUUAUUAUGAAUUAAAAAUGUCUUUUAAUAUCAUUUUACAUUUAUCAGUUAGUUGAACUGUUAAUUUUACCAAACAUUUCAAGUAGUUAUCAGUCAUCAUCCAUAAACUAUGAGCUAUUAACUAUAAACUAUAUGCUAUCAACCAUUUGCUACAAGUUAUCAGCCAGUUUAUCAGUCAUCCGCUAUUUUGAUCAAACAGAGCUUAAAUAACUAUACGAGUUUUGCAUAAAUUUAGUAGUGAAAACCAUACGAGAUAGAUCGUUACCUUUUUUUAAAUAAAAAAACCAGUAAAAAACAUGUGUUUUAUAUAUUUUUAUUUUUUUAAAAACGUGUUAUAAAAUAGCUUUCUAAGUUUUUUUUAUGCAUAAGUGAUAAGUGGUCCAUGACGGUUACCAGUUAGAGCUAGUUGGUUAGCAAUACUACAUUUUAUAAAGACUAUGGCAUUUCUUUAAUGGUCAUGUAUGGUAAUGCAAGUAUAUAUUGGAAUUCUUUGUAUUAAAUGAAAUGAAACAGUACUAUAGAGCUUUCAAAGUGCAGAAAAAUACCAUGCUUGUUAUGGAAACAAGUCCAUUUUAGUAUAAUGAUAAAUUGCUUAAAAAAAGAGAUAAACAAAUACUGACAAGAGAAUAUCAGAAAGGAGAAUGGGAAUGAACUCGAGAGAGAGAUGGGGGAUCUUCAGUAAUUUUCCAACAAGAUUUCUGUUGGGAUAUUUCACACGUAUUCCUCUACUUCAAGAAUAGUCUAACACAUUUGAAAUAGCUCGAUGGUGUUGACUUGAUACCUUGAAGUGUAUUCCUCUUAAAAUCUUACGUUCGAUGUUCGCAGGUGUUGAUUUUAAUGGGCUAAAUCCAUAGAGAGCUAUGCUUUGGUUUUAAACGGUCCCCAUAAGUGGACGGUAGAAUUGAACUUCUUAAAUUAGUCGGUUCAUUCCUUCAAAAAAAAAAAAAAAUUGUCGGUUCAUAGACUUUGAUACCGAAUUUUUUCUUUGAAAAAAAAAACCCUAACCACUCUGUUUAUGUCACAUAUCCCACAUGAUUUAUGUAGAGAUAUUUCACACGUAUUCUUCUACUUGGUUCCACCAUUUGUGGAUCAUUAGCCAUGUUUGCCCUACUUUCACUCAUGACAGGUCACUUUAAAACUGAGUCCAAAUUGGCUUGGGAGAACUAGUUAGUUAUAGCUAGAAAAACAAGCAAUAUUACUUGUUCUUACUCUUGAUUUUGUUCUCCCUCAAAAAAGGUUAGCAUGGAAGAGGGAAGGGUAGUGAGUGAGUUCACAGAAGAUGGAACUGUUGAUCUUAAAGGGAAACCUAUUCUCAAAUCUAAAACUGGUUGUUGGAAAGCUUGUUCCUUCUUUGUUGGUAUGCCAUUUUCUCUUGCUCUCUCAUGUAUGCUCAUUUUUGUUUGUUCAAUUUUUAUUUUGUUCAAAUAUUAUAAAUGCUGUUGAAAAUGGUUUGUUAACAAUGAAGUAAAAUAGUACCCUGAAUUUAAUCCUUCCCAUUAAAGAAACCACCCCAAGCAAAGAAACCACUUCAAUUUAACACCUCAACUUAAAAUAUGACAUGAUACAUUUUUAUGAACUCUAUUGCUCUCAGCGUAUCAUUUUCGUAUCAUUUUUAAGUGUUUCACUUGAAUCAUGCACAAUUUUUAAGAAAAUGAUUAAUAUAUGUCAAAAUUUAUUAUUUCGUUUACAAUAUUUCGAAAUUAAUGGUGGAGUCAACAAUGCUUCGAAAUUAAUGGAGGAGUCAAUUCUUGAUGGAGAGGUAGGCCAUAUAGUACCUUUGCGUAUAAAAAGAGAUGCACUACCAAGAAUGCUUGUUUACUGUUUUUCUUGGUAAAAAAAAAAUAGUCAAAUAAGUUUCUGGUCCCUGAAAAUUUUUAAAUUUUGAUUUAUAGUCCUCCAAAUUCUAUUAUCAACUUUUUGUCCAUUAAAUAUUUUGGGUUAAUAGUGUUUUUCACCCCUGUAAUAUAUGUCAUUUUCGGUUUUCGCCCCUAUAAAAUUUUCGGUUUGAUUUGCACCCUCGUAAAAAUUUUAUUUUCCGGAAAACACCCUUAAUAGGCCAUUCAAAAACCAAAAUUUCUUGAAAAAAAAUUCUGAAAAUGGCCUAUUAGGGGUGUUUUCCGGAAAAUAAAAAUUUUACGANAGGCCAUUCAAAAACCAAAAUUUCUUGAAAAAAAAUUCUGAAAAUGGCCUAUUAGGGGUGUUUUCCGGAAAAUAAAAAUUUUACGAGGGUGCAAAUCAAACCGAAAAUUUUAUAAGGGCGAAAACCAGAAAUGAAAUAUAUUAAAGGGGUGAAAAACACUAUUAACCCAAAUAUUUUUAUCACCACUUUUGACCCAUAUUUUUAAAUAAACUCAUGUCUAUAACCAUUGCUUUUGGACAGCACUUGCACUAGAAAGUUAGAAAAAUACCCUAAGUUCACAUCUCCUUUGUUUAGCCAUUUAGAACGUCUCAGUGUCUCACUAUGCAGUGAAUAAUUAAAUGUAAUAUUGAUAAAAUAAUAAAUGUUACAUUCAACUUUUAAAAGCAACAAAUAAAUAGUUACACAUUUUUUUUAUUGCAAUCAUGACAAUUAGAAAGGAAUAAAGAGAGGUUUGUAAGACCUAACUCAACGGACAACGUUAAUAUGGUUAAGUUGAACAUCUUUAUUUGUCUGUUUCGGUUACAAAUGAUGCUUGCCGUUUUGUUUAUAGACCCAAAAAAAUUAAAAUAAAGAGAGUAUUAACUUCAUCAAGGUACAAACUUAAAUCAUUUUUUCAUUUUAUGUAAAACAUUGGACCACACAUUGAAUGAUAUGUUUUUGUUGAUGAAAUUACAUUGAAUUAUAUUGCUUUAUUUGUGAUGUAGUGUAUGAAGUAUUUGAGAGAAUGGCUUAUUAUGGGAUAUCAUCAAAUUUGAUCUUAUAUUUAACAAAUAAGCUUCAUCAAGGUACUGUGACCUCUUCUACCAAUGUCACCAAUUGGGCUGGCACCAUGUGGAUCACUCCAAUAUUAGGUGCUUAUGUUGCUGAUACCUACCUUGGCCGUUAUUGGACUUUUGUCACUGCCUCUUUCAUCUAUCUAUUGGUAUAUCUCAAUUCAUUACCAGCUUUAUAUCAUUAUAAUUGUAUAAUUUAUAAUUUUUCUUUGUCUCAAAUUAAUUGUUAUAUUAAAAUAUUAAAACUCAAAGUCAAUUUUUAGAAUAAUAAGUCUUGGUCAGACUUUACUCUUCUAGUCAAACUCCAUAUUACUUAAUCUCUUUCCCAUAAUAACUGAAAGGUUAACACAUAAAAAAUAUCAAUAAAAGAUCAAACGAGAAAUGUUACCUUAUACAUUAAAAGCUCAUUUUAAUAAAUCAAAUAUUUAUCGCGAAAGGAACUGUUGUGCGGAUCGGAUGGCUUCUCUUGGGCAUGAGUUGACUGGUGGUACGGUUUGGUUUGACAGAUUACCACCAUCGUUGUCUUUAGAUUUCUCUAGGGAUAUAUCUGGCUUGUCUAAUUACCGCUUUCCCUAAGAUUUCGGUUGUUUUUUUCCGCUUUGCAUUGUUUCGAGGGUUUUGGCCUAGUCCCUCCCUCUUGUAUAUAUAUUUUUCCUUUUUUAAUAAUAUAUAUGGAGUAGACAGCAUAGGAUAUAAGUCCCAAUGGGGUGCCAACCUAAUUGAGAUGUCUCUGGGCUCCUUGAUGUCUCAUCUACUUCUUGCCUUAUCCAAAAAUAAAUUAAAUAUAGAAAUAUUUUUAAUGUUGGAGCAAUGGUUCAAAUGUGCAAUUGGCAGGGUAUGUCUAUGCUUACACUAUCAGUUUCUCUUCCAAGCCUAAAACCACCUGAGUGUCAUGAAAUGGAUGUGACAAAAUGCAAGGAAGCUUCCACACUACAGCUAGUUGUGUUCUAUGGUGCACUCUACACUCUAGCAGUGGGAACAGG
rnacentral:lncRNA from 1 species